AUUGAACGCUGGCGGCAUGCCUUACACAUGCAAGUCGAACGGUAACAGGUCUUCGGAUGCUGACGAGUGGCGAACGGGUGAGUAAUACAUCGGAACGUGCCUAGUAGUGGGGGAUAACUACUCGAAAGAGUGGCUAAUACCGCAUGAGAUCUACGGAUGAAAGCAGGGGAUCGCAAGACCUUGUGCUACUAGAGCGGCCGAUGGCAGAUUAGGUAGUUGGUGGGAUAAAAGCUUACCAAGCCGACGAUCUGUAGCUGGUCUGAGAGGACGAUCAGCCACACUGGACAUGAGACACGGCCCAGACUCCUACGGGAGGCAGCAGUGGGGAAUUUUGGACAAUGGGCGCAAGCCUGAUCCAGCAAUGCCGCGUGCAGGAUGAAGGCCCUCGGGUUGUAAACUGCUUUUGUACGGAACGAAAAGCCCCGGGUUAAUACCCUGGGGUCAUGACGGUACCGUAAGAAUAAGCACCGGCUAACUACGUGCCAGCCGCCGCAGUAA
rnacentral:rRNA from 1 species